AGAGUGAACGCUGGCGGCAGGCCUAACACAUGCAAGUCGAACGGCAGCACAGGGGAGCUUGCUCCCCGGGUGGCGAGUGGCGGACGGGUGAGGAAUACAUGGGAAUCUGCCCAAUCGUGGGGGAUAACGUAGGGAAACUUACGCUAAUACCGCAUACGACCUUAGGGUGAAAGCGGCGGACCGCAAGGCGUCGCGCGAUUGGAUGAGCCCAUGUCGGAUUAGCUUGUUGGCGGGGUAAAGGCCCACCAAGGCGACGAUCCGUAGCUGGUCUGAGAGGAUGAUCAGCCACACUGGAACUGAGACACGGUCCAGACUCCUACGGGAGCAGCAGUGGGGAAUAUUGGACAAGUGGCGCAAGCCUGAUCCAGCCAU
rnacentral:rRNA from 1 species